rnacentral:tRNA from 1 species
GGGGUAGAAAAAAAUUAAUUUGCAUUUAAUUAAAGUUUAUUAACCUACCUU